UUGCCCCAGAGAAGGAGAUCAAGCUCAAGGAAGAGAAGAAUCGCCAGUUGGAAAAGAAGAAAAAAUCAUGGGCCCACCUUCAGGGGGGGAGAAGUCUCAUCUUUCAAUGAGGAUUGAAGAGAUUAUUAAUAUAUUUAAGUGCCAGAGGUGCAUGUGAGAAAACCAGGCUGCCUUGUCUGCUCAACAGAUGGCAGGGCCGAGUGGUUGCACAGCUCAGGAGGAGGCACUGGCCAUCCUUUUGCAAAAUGCAGCAUCCCUGGGCAGAAAGCCUGCAUUCGCGAUGGUGAUGAUAAUUUCAUGGAUGGGUAUUCAUUUGAUGCUGUUUAUUGUCUCCCCUGAACCGGCUGGAAUGUGAACUUCAUGAGGAAUUGUAUGUCUGCUUUCAUGGCUGUAUCCUCAGUGCUUGGAGCAGAGUAGGCAGCAGCUGACAGAAGGCACUUGUGGUAGGCAGAACAAGGGCCCCCAAAGUUGUCCAAGUGCUGAUCUCUGAAACUGACUAUGUUACCUUACCGGUCUUCUGAUUCUUGGGCUUUGCUGAUGUGAUUAAAUUAAGGGUUUUGAGAUGGGGAAAUCUUCCUGGAUUAUCUGGGUCAAUAUAAUCAUGAGGGACCAUAAAGGUGAGGAAGCAGGAGGGCAGAGUUGAAGAGGAUGCAAUGAUGGAAGCAGAGGUGGGAAUGAUGCAAUUGCUGGAAGGGUCCAUGAGCCGAGGAAUGUGGACAAUCUCCCAAAGUUGAGAUAGGCAAGGAAAUGGUUUUUCCUCUGGAGGCUCCAGAAGGACUACUAACCUGGCACCCUAUUUUAGACUUCUGACCUCCAGAACUAUAAGAAAAUAAAUUUGUGUUGCUUUAAGCCACUGAGUUUGUGUUAAUUUGUACACCAGCAAUAGGAAACUAAUAAGCACUCAAAAACAUCUGCUGAAGAAAUGCAGGAACGGGCAGGGCUUCCAUUUCUUUGUGAAAUGGGAGGCUUGGACUUAGCUAAUGACCUCUAGUGCAG